GAGGAAAGUCCGGACACCACAGAGCGCUAUAGCGGGUAACGCCCGUCCGCCGUAAGGCGAGGACUAGUGCAACAGAAAGCAAGUACAGUUCGGCUGUAGUGAAAUCAGGUAAACUCUAUAGGGUGCAACGCCAAGUAAACCGACAACUAAGAGUGGCUCGCUCAAUGUCGGAGGGUAGGCGGUUAGAAUGGUCUGGCAACAGCCCAUCCAGAUAAAUGAUAAGCACUUUCCCCCAAAGGAAAGCACAGAAUCCGGCUUA
rnacentral:RNase_P_RNA from 1 species